ensembl:lncRNA
CCUGCACAUUUUAUUCAGUGUGACAAGUAGCUGCCAAAUCCAACUUUUAAUAAUGCAAAAGAAAGGGGGAGAAGGAGCGAAGGGAAAGUAAGAAUAGGAUAGGAAUAAGCAAACAGCUUGGUUUGUUCCAAAGCGUUAAAGCGUGGCGAAAAGUGUGUGAGUGACCCUGGCUCUCUCUACCCGUCACUUUGCACAGGAAAGACGGACGCACUCUAGAUGGUUCCAGGUAUUGCCCAAAACAACAUCCUUUACCUAGAGAUCGCUAUUCAUCCCGCGAGCAGCGAGCGCAGGCUAGUCAAUCAACGAGAAAGAGGGUAGGAACACAAAACGGAGGGGAUCCCCUUCUGUAGCAGCCCUAGCAAACUGUACACGGCCCACCGCCAGGUUAGAAAACAAGGCUUCUUUAGGGUUUAUAAUACAGUAUAUUGCUUUCGGCAUGUUUCACUGUAGGCUACAUAGAAAAUGUUCAGUGGACGGCCUGGUCCGUCGACCUGGGUGGUGAUAGGGGUAGUAUUCACAGAAAGGGUCAAGUAUCGCUUACGUUUUUGUUUAAGAGGAAGGAUGAAACAACACAAUAGGAUUUUCUUAUUUUUUUGCAAUUUUUAAAAUGGGAUGACAUAUUAACGUUGAAUCAUGAUCUCAAGUCACAUUGUUGAUGAUUAUCCACUAAUAUCUAUAAAAAAAAGUAUAUUUUAUCUUCUAACAUAAAAUCUUUUUUGGCCAAGAAAGAAAGAAAAACACAACUGUGCAUAAAUCAUUAGAUGGUGUUAAUAAUACUCUAUUUCUUGCAUAACUUACUGUAGCAUAAACAAUAGUCAAGAUGGUUCAUAAAAUACAUAAAUAAAUAAUAACUGUUUCAUUCAGAAUGGUACAGUAGCUACCUUUUGUUGCAUUGAGUGGAUGUAGAGCUCAAAAAAUACUUUCCAACUUUCAAACAGACAAGUGUAAACGAUGAAUGUUGAGCCAUCACUAAAAUAUGUCCUAUUGUAUCUCACUAGUGCAACUUCUAUCACUUCCUUCAUCUGUGAUGAAUUAUUCAAAACUACAGCUCCAGACAUCUUUCUUCCAGAAUAUCAGUUUUGUUUAAAUAUGUUAACAAGAAAGACAAAAAACAAAAGCAUUAAUAUUAAGGUAUAGCAUUCUUGGAUAUUCAUUCACAUAUUCUCAGGAUCACAGGUGUCAAAAGAAAGGUAAUGAAACAGUGAUUUGUAUGUGUGUGAUUCAAUUUGUCUUGUUUAAAUUAGAUCAAUAAUAAAUGGAUUUCGUAAAAUGAUUCGGAUGAUCAAUCUUCGGAUUGAAACACUAUUUAGAAGUGAAUAGAGAUAAUACUCAUCUAUGAUUUCCCAAAGGCAGCAGCUGGGUAGUAAUCAUCUGUUGUUUUGAUCAUAUAAAAAGGAGGUCGAAAGCAGAUUACAGACGGCGUCAGAACGGUAUGCAUAUAAGUACGAGGUUUCACUUUGUAAUCAUGGCGGCAUGACUAUGUGGGUUAUUAUGUCGUCUUUACUGUACAUCGUACACUACCACAGUCUCCAUUCCCAUCCUGGACAUCCUUUUGAGUUCUGGCGGUUCUUUCCUGUCAUUUUCAUAUUUUUGUCGGGGAAAUUGCUUUUAUAACACUUAAAGAACAAUAUACAGAGUCAGUUUCACACAAGUCCAUAGACGACUUUCCAGUGAUGUGGACUUUUCCAGUGUAGUCAGAGGUGGGGUCCAUAGAGAUCUGUUUUCUCUCAGUCAGGCCCCACUUGAAUGGAUUCCAGUGUUCAGAUUCAGCAGCAACGAGAGGAAGCAGCACUGGCGACAUCUAGUGGUGGACGUGUUUAAUGGCCCAUAUGAUCUCUCUCUGUCCCCCCACAGAGUUUGUGUGAGUGCUCGUGUUCUUCAUCACAGCUGUCAGUUACUUCCCAAGGGACGCCUCCAGACAGGAUAUAUUACUGUAUAUAAUUCUGCCUGUCACAUGAUGGCACACUAGAGAUAUCUGCAUCUAUAUUCAUCGCUGUAUAUGUACAAUGCCACUUGUAAGGGACGCUAUCAUACACAUCCAUUAAUAUGGCUAUUACAGAUGGCUCUAAAUAAGAAAGAAGCUAAAAGAUAUGUUCUGGGUGGAUGCGGAGGUCAUGUUCAACCCUCUCGCCAUCUAACCAUGAAUAUGAAUAAAUACACGUACAGCAAUAAAUGUCUAAAUAAAUAUAGAUCUGAGCAGAUGUUGAAACCGUAAUACAGAAAUAGCGUUGGUGGGGGGGGUGACGGCUGGGGAGAAGGACGGGCGGGUAGGGGGGCAGCGACCUAUCAACAGUGUGAGCACCUUUUUUUGGUUUUCUACUCUGAAAAAAAAUAAAACACACCGCCCAACAGCCAGCUGGUGGUCUCACUGUGGCCCACCAC